CCCCUCUCCUGUAUUUUCCUCU
rnacentral:miRNA from 1 species